CACAAAGGCAGUCACACGCACACAGAGACAGUCACACACAAACACACACAAACAGUCACACACACACAGUCACAGUUACACACACAGUCACACACUCACAGACAGUCACAGUCACACACACAGACAGUCACAGUCACACACACACAGUCACACACACAGUCACACACAGAGACAGUCACAGUCACACACAGGCAGUCACACACAAAGGCAGUCACACGCACACACAGACAGUCACACACAAACACACACUAACAGUCACACACACACAGUCACAGUUACACACACAGUCACACACUCACAGACAGUCA